rnacentral:rRNA from 1 species
CCUUCGGGUGGCUGCAGUGGGGAAUAUUGGACAAUGGGCGAAAGCCUGAUCCAGCCAUGCCGCGUGUGUGAAGAAGGCCUUCGGGUUGUAAAGCACUUUCAGUGGGGAAGAAAGCCUUGGGGCUAAUACCCUCGAGGAAGGACAUCACCCACAGAAGAAGCACCGGCUAACUCCGUGCCAGCAGCCGCGGUAAUACGGAGGGUGCGAGCGUUAAUCGGAAUUACUGGGCGUAAAGCGCGCGUAGGCGGUCUGAUAAGCCGGUUGUGAAAGCCCCGGGCUCAACCUGGGAACGGCAUCCGGAACUGUCAGGCUAGAGUGCAGGAGAGGAAGGUAGAAUUCCCGGUGUAGCAGUGAAAUGCGUAGAGAUCGGGAGGAAUACCAGUGGCGAAGGCGGCCUUCUGGACUGACACUGACGCUGAGGUGCGAAAGCGUGGGUAGCAAACAGGAUUAGAUACCCUGGUAGUC